CCAAUCUUUCUACAAGCUUGCCAAGCGUGGGAAGCAGGGCUAUGGGUCUGAAAUUUGAUGGGUCAUCAUAGUUUCCACCCUUAAAUAAUGGUAUAAUCAAGGCAUCCUUGAGUAAAUGUGGAAAGGACCCACUUGAAAGUGAAACAUUUAACACCUCAGCCAAAGAAUCAAGGGUUGGUAGCGGUAGCGCUGUUAGGACCUUUAGUGACAGCCCAUCCCAUCCAGAGGAGUUCUUAUUUUUCAUUGAGGAUAGAGCUUCCAUUAUUUCACUAGAAUCUGUUGGUCUAAAGAAAAAUGUUUCAGGCACCUUAAUGUUGUGUAAGUAUGAGCGCGGAUCUCCAACAGACUGAGGCAAUAAUAUUGACAGACCCAAAGCAACACCCUGGAAAAAAUGAUUGAGUGUUUCGGCCGACACCGUGCUAUUAGAAACAGAAGGGUUCCCACGUUCGCCUCUAGGAUAUGAAUUUGGAGUUGUCCAAGGCAAACUUUCUUAUGGAGUGCAAACACCGAAGAUUUUUACCAGAAACUAAUAGACCCCUGCUAUACCAGGGUCUUCUCCUUUUUUCCCUAAUUGUCACCAUGGGAAAAGUUGCCUCAAAAACAUCCACUAAAGUUGAAUGGAAACUCUCAAAAGGAUCACCGUUGUUAAUGAACAACCUUCCGCACUUUUUUUUUCUUGAGGUACACUUUUUUUCACUUAGAAGAAAGGAACAUAAUACGGCCUCAUGAUCAGACAACCCGGCAUUUACAAUUCUACAUGCAACCUGCGUUUCACAGAGAGUAGAGCAAACAUAAUCUAAAAGUGAUGCUGAAUUAGCAGUGAUGCGAGUAGGUUGGUCAACAGGCAAACAAGAUUUCAGCACUCUAUGUAUCGACAAAUGAUUGUUAGAGUUAUUGCAGUCUAAAAAAUUUACAUUAAUGUCACCUGUCAAUAUUAGUGAUGCAUUUACCGAUAUUUGGCUUAAAAUGUUAUAUAAUUUAUCAAUAAAACUACUAAAAUUACUCGAGGGUGACCUGUAAAGGCCUAAAAUGUACAAAUUUAAUUCUUUAGAAUAAACAAUGCAAAAUUCAAAAGUUUUUUCUUCCAGGAGAUACUCAAACUUGGUUAUAUCAACAAAGUUAUAUCUUUCUAAAAACUUAUUCUCUAUUAAUAUCAAAGUUCCACCAUGAUUAUACUGAGUACGGGAAUAGAUGGAUGCAAGAGCAUAACUUUCUAUGAAAAAAGGUUCACCCUGUUUGAGCCAAUGUUCAGUCAAAACAACAAUGGCAGGGUUAUCUUCAUAUGCUAAAAAUAAAGAGAGUUCAUCAGAUUUAUUUCUGACUGACUGAAUAUUUAAAAGGGCUAAAGCAAAAUGGACUCCGACUGAGUUUGGCCUAAAAAAGUUUUGUUGUGUUCCAGAGGUCCAGUAUUCCAUGUUAUAUCCAUACAAGGUAUAGUUUUUGAUACUAUUUUUAAGGCAGAGUG